rnacentral:tRNA from 1 species
UGGCUCAGUGGUAAAGAAUCUGCCUGCAAUGUAGGAGACCCAGGUUCGAUCCCUGG